GGAUAUAGUGUGAGCCACCGCACCUGGCCUUCUUUUCUUUCUUUAAAAAUAUUUUUUUUCUUUGCUUUUUUUUUUUGUAUUCUCCACAUAGUUGAACAUCCUAAAGAAAUUCGUUCCUUUGCUUUAGUCUCGAAGAUGGAGCCCAGUUAGCUACAGAGCCAUCAGAGUCUAAGUGUCUGGCACCUGAGCUCCUCCUUGGCCCACAGAAAGGCUCUGCCCACCAGCUCCCCAGAGAGAAUAUGGAAAUGCUGCUUGGGACCAAAUAAGGGAAUAUAAUGAAAGGGGCCUCAGGGCUGAGUCUGUGUCUGAGUCACAUUUUAGCAAAGUGGCCACAUAGCUUCUGACUCAGAGCACAAAGAUUCUUCAAUUCUUCAUGGCAAGAAUGAGACUCACAAGAGCAUAGGCUCAGAAGUGGAAAGGAGGGUAGAGCUGUCUCCUCCUGUCUAGUCUAACCAAGGCAGCUAAGAAGCUGAGGCCAGAGAAGGGAGGGUCCCGCAGCCCUAGGGAGGGCCGGAGCCAGCUGGGGCUUCCAGACUCCCGGGAGAGGUGUCAUCCUGCCACCCACUCUGCAGGCUCUGCUCAGUCUGUUUGGACGCUGGGUGUGUCGGGAGGCCCUGUCACCCUGCCCCGACCCGGCUAUGCUGGGGAGACCUCAGCUUCCUGACUCAUACUCAGAAGGGAGUGUCUUAGAGGAAUUUCUUUCCACCCAAGCAGUCUAUGGACGGAUCAAAAGUGCAAGUCAUGUCAAGACGAGAAAGAUAAGAAUGUUGCUGGACAAAGCUGCACAAGCAUUUCUUGUUGCUCCCUCCUCCCCGCCUCUUUCUCUGAGGUUGACUGGUCUAUCCGUAAGUUGUGGGGGCUGGUGCUGGUGUGGAGGGAGGAUGAAGGGCCAAGGACAUCUCUAUGGGGUAUACUUGGGACCAGACUGGCUGUCAACACACAGCCCAGCCUCUCCACUUCAUUGCCACUCCUGGGGGCAUUUCGGUGGACUACAAAGUGCUAGAAACCACGGAGUCUCUGAC
rnacentral:lncRNA from 1 species